CCUACGGGGUGCAGCAGUGGGGAAUAUUGGGCAAUGGGCGCAAGCCUGACCCAGCAACGCCGCGUGAAGGAAGAAGGCUUUCGGGUUGUAAACUUCUUUUCUCAGGGACGAAGCAAGUGACGGUACCUGAGGAAUAAUCCACGGCUAACUACGUGCCAGCAGCCGCGGUAAUACGUAGGUGGCAAGCGUUGUCCGGAUUUACGGGGUGUAAAGGGCGUGCAGCCGGAGAGACAAGUCAGUUGUGAAAUCCACGGGCUCAACCCGUGAACUGCAUUUGAAACUGGCGUUCUUGCUUGGGCGAGAAGUAUGCGGAAUGCGUGGUGUAGCGGUGAAAUGCAUAGAUAUCACGCAGAACUCCGAUUGCGAAGGCAGCAUACCGGCGCCCAACUGACGCUGAAGCACGAAAGCGUGGGUAUCGAACAGGAUUAGAUACCCUUGUAGUC
rnacentral:rRNA from 1 species